rnacentral:rRNA from 1 species
UACGUAGGGGGCCAGCGUUGCUCGGAAUUACUGGGCGUAAAGGGUUCGUAGGCGGUGCGGCAAGUUGGGAGUGAAAUCUCUGGGCUUAACUCAGGGCUGCUUCAAACUGCCGCGCUCGAGUGCGAGAGAGGUCAGUGGAAUUGCAGGUGUAGCGGUGAAAUGCGUAGAUAUCUGCAGGAACACCCGUGGCGAAGGCGGCUGACUGGAUCGCAACUGACGCUGAGGAACGAAAGCUAGGGAGCAAACAGG